rnacentral:rRNA from 1 species
UAAGGGCGCACGGUGGAUGCCUUGGCACUAGAAGCCGAUGAAGGACGUUACUAACGACGAUAUGCUUUGGGGAGCUGUAAGUAAGCUUUGAUCCAGAGAUUUCCGAAUGGGGAAACCCAGCAUGAGUUAUGUCAUGUUAUCGAUAUGUGAAUACAUAGCAUAUCAGAAGGCACACCCGGAGAACUGAAACAUCUUAGUACCCGGAGGAAGAGAAAGAAAAUUCGAUUCCCUUAGUAGCGGCGAGCGAAACGGGAAGAGCCCAAACCAACAAGCUUGCUUGUUGGGGUUGUAGGACACUCUAUACGGAGUUACAAAGGACGACAUUAGACGAAUCAUCUGGAAAGAUGAAUCAAAGAAGGUAAUAAUCCUGUAGUCGAAAAUGUUGUCUCUCUUGAGUGGAUCCUGAGUACGACGGAGCACGUGAAAUUCCGUCGGAAUCUGGGAGGACCAUCUCCUAAGGCUAAAUACUCUCUAGUGACCGAUAGUGAACCAGUACCGUGAGGGAAAGGUGAAAAGCACCCCGGAAGGGGAGUGAAAUAGAACCUGAAACCGUGUGCUUACAAGUAGUCAGAGCCCGUUAAUGGGUGAUGGCGUGCCUUUUGUAGAAUGAACCGGCGAGUUACGAUUUGAUGCAAGGUUAAGCAGUAAAUGUGGAGCCGUAGCGAAAGCGAGUCUGAAUAGGGCGUUUAGUAUUUGGUCGUAGACCCGAAACCAGGUGAUCUACCCUUGGUCAGGUUGAAGUUCAGGUAACACUGAAUGGAGGACCGAACCGACUUACGUUGAAAAGUGAGCGGAUGAACUGAGGGUAGCGGAGAAAUUCCAAUCGAACCUGGAGAUAGCUGGUUCUCUCCGAAAUAGCUUUAGGGCUAGCCUCAAGUGAUGAUUAUUGGAGGUAGAGCACUGUUUGGACGAGGGGCCCCUCUCGGGUUACCGAAUUCAGACAAACUCCGAAUGCCAAUUAAUUUAACUUGGGAGUCAGAACAUGGGUGAUAAGGUCCGUGUUCGAAAGGGAAACAGCCCAGACCACCAGCUAAGGUCCCAAAAUAUAUGUUAAGUGGAAAAGGAUGUGGCGUUGCCCAGACAACUAGGAUGUUGGCUUAGAAGCAGCCAUCAUUUAAAGAGUGCGUAAUAGCUCACUAGUCGAGUGACACUGCGCCGAAAAUGUACCGGGGCUAAACAUAUUACCGAAGCUGUGGAUUGUCCUUUGGACAAUGGUAGGAGAGCGUUCUAAGGGCGUUGAAGCAUGAUCGUAAGGACAUGUGGAGCGCUUAGAAGUGAGAAUGCCGGUGUGAGUAGCGAAAGACGGGUGAGAAUCCCGUCCACCGAUUGACUAAGGUUUCCAGAGGAAGGCUCGUCCGCUCUGGGUUAGUCGGGUCCUAAGCUGAGGCCGACAGGCGUAGGCGAUGGAUAACAGGUUGAUAUUCCUGUACCACCUAUAAUCGUUUUAAUCGAUGGGGGGACGCAGUAGGAUAGGCGAAGCGUGCGAUUGGAUUGCACGUCUAAGCAGUAAGGCUGAGUAUUAGGCAAAUCCGGUACUCAUUAAGGCUGAGCUGUGAUGGGGAGAAGACAUUGUGUCUUCGAGUCGUUGAUUUCACACUGCCGAGAAAAGCCUCUAGAUAGAAAAUAGGUGCCCGUACCGCAAACCGACACAGGUAGUCAAGAUGAGAAUUCUAAGGUGAGCGAGCGAACUCUCGUUAAGGAACUCGGCAAAAUGACCCCGUAACUUCGGGAGAAGGGGUGCUCUUUAGGGUUAACGCCCAGAAGAGCCGCAGUGAAUAGGCCCAAGCGACUGUUUAUCAAAAACACAGGUCUCUGCUAAACCGUAAGGUGAUGUAUAGGGGCUGACGCCUGCCCGGUGCUGGAAGGUUAAGAGGAGUGGUUAGCUUCUGCGAAGCUACGAAUCGAAGCCCCAGUAAACGGCGGCCGUAACUAUAACGGUCCUAAGGUAGCGAAAUUCCUUGUCGGGUAAGUUCCGACCCGCACGAAAGGCGUAACGAUUUGGGCACUGUCUCAACGAGAGACUCGGUGAAAUCAUAGUACCUGUGAAGAUGCAGGUUACCCGCGACAGGACGGAAAGACCCCGUGGAGCUUUACUGUAGCCUGAUAUUGAAAUUCGGCACAGCUUGUACAGGAUAGGUAGGAGCCUUUGAAACGUGAGCGCUAGCUUACGUGGAGGCGCUGGUGGGAUACUACCCUAGCUGUGUUGGCUUUCUAACCCGCACCACUUAUCGUGGUGGGAGACAGUGUCAGGCGGGCAGUUUGACUGGGGCGGUCGCCUCCUAAAAGGUAACGGAGGCGCUCAAAGGUUCCCUCAGAAUGGUUGGAAAUCAUUCAUAGAGUGUAAAGGCAUAAGGGAGCUUGACUGCGAGACCUACAAGUCGAGCAGGGUCGAAAGACGGACUUAGUGAUCCGGUGGUUCCGCAUGGAAGGGCCAUCGCUCAACGGAUAAAAGCUACCCCGGGGAUAACAGGCUUAUCUCCCCCAAGAGUUCACAUCGACGGGGAGGUUUGGCACCUCGAUGUCGGCUCAUCGCAUCCUGGGGCUGUAGUCGGUCCCAAGGGUUGGGCUGUUCGCCCAUUAAAGCGGUACGCGAGCUGGGUUCAGAACGUCGUGAGACAGUUCGGUCCCUAUCCGUCGUGGGCGUAGGAAAUUUGAGAGGAGCUGUCCUUAGUACGAGAGGACCGGGAUGGACAUACCUCUGGUGUACCAGUUGUCGUGCCAACGGCAUAGCUGGGUAGCUAUGUGUGGACGGGAUAAGUGCUGAAAGCAUCUAAGCAUGAAGCCCCCCUCAAGAUGAGAUUUCCCAACUUCGGUUAUAAGAUCCCUCAAAGAUGAUGAGGUUAAUAGGUUCGAGGUGGAAGCAUGGUGACAUGUGGAGCUGACGAAUACUAAUCGAUCGAAGACUUAAUCAA